rnacentral:misc_RNA from 1 species
AACCUAGCACACCUGCGGUGUGUACCUGCGGAGGGAUCAUUACAAGUGACCCCGGUCUAACCACCGGGAUGUUCAUAACCCUUUGUUGUCCGACUCUGUUGCCUCCGGGGCGACCCUGCCUUCGGGCGGGGGCUCCGGGUGGACACUUCAAACUCUUGCGUAACUUUGCAGUCUGAGUAAAUUUAAUUAAUAAAUUAAAACUUUUAACAACGGAUCU